rnacentral:lncRNA from 1 species
AGCCGGAAAAUUCAAUUAUUUCUAAAAAUUACCAAAAUUUUCAGAUUUGAAGAUCUCAAUGAGUAGAACAACUUUCAUACCUGUGACCAAGGUCAAUUUGGCCCGGAAAGCCUCCAAUUUCAACAAAACCCGUCGGAACCCUAGAAAUGGGUGUGUUUCAAUUCGACCUCCAAAUGUGUUCCGACGCCUCCACCACUGAUUGGGCUUUGUUCCUGGGUUCUAUGGGAGUCUAUUGGUGGCAACAAUUUGCUGGAUUACCUUCACGAUCGUCGGAUUUUGUCAUGGUACCCACGGAACCCAUUGUUUCGUUCUACACGAAUUCAAGCUCAAAUCCCAUAAAAUUCGAUUGGGAAUGGAAGAGGAAAGGACUAGGGGAUGAUUGAGAAUGGUUUCUUAGUCCAAUUUCGUGAGCAAUCCGGUGGAAAACCACCGGAAAUAUGAAGAAAUGGGAAUGGGUGCACACGGGUCGCGGGUUGGGGAACCCAUUUCCCCCUUUCCCCCGCACGCCACACUCCCUCCUUUCCCUCCUUGCUUUUGCUUCUGAUUGGGCAGUCUCUCCCUUCCUCUCCACUGAUUGGGCAGUAGCCCUUCCUCUUUCCCUCUUCUUCUUCCUCUUCUCUUUUCUUCCCCCAUUUCCCGUCACAUACACACACACAGACACUUGUCCUCUUAAUUAGUAUACCAUAAUAUGAUAUAAUUAGAAAGGUUAUUUCUUCAAAAUACUUUCGAUUCGUCACUCCAAAUUCACUUCCGCUUGUGCAUACUCGUUCGUAUCGUCAAUUACCUCAAGAAUACGCUAAAAGAAUAUUUAGUACAUCUCAUAACACGCUAGUCAAUGAAAGUCAAAACCUUCGUCUCUAGGGUGUCUUCGUAAUUUCACAUUUUAAAAUUUAUAAAUUAAUAAAAUAUGGGACUGGUUGUCACACGCAAACUCUUCUUAGUCCUUGCUAGGUCUAUCUUCUAUUUUCUGUUGGAAUAUUUUUGCUCUCACCCUUAAGUGAUGGUAAUGUUCAUCACGUCAUUUAUUAUUGUUGAAUGAGCUUACUUUGUUUAACAGAUAAACACAAAUUUCAAAAUUGAAACUCAUCAAACGAUAAUAAUUAAGAUGAUGAGUAUUACUACCACUUGAGAGUAGUGAGCAAAACUGCACCCAUUUCCUAUAUGUACUAUGAAAACCAACUUCUUAAUUGGGAAAAGGAUCCUCUUUGUGGGGAUCCAAAUGAUCAAUCAAACAUCGUGCGGUUAGAAAUCAUUUUAAAUUUUAAAUUAAAUAUAAAUAGUACCUAACGAAAACUGACCACAUGAUAUACGACGAACGAACAUAAGUGAUUGAUUCCCUGGAUUCUCACAAAGAGGAUCCAUAGAGGAUCCUUUUCCUCGUAAUUGUGCUAUAUAUUUGGGGUUGACAUAUAGUAUUAUUAUAUUAUGCAUACUUAUCAUGCCACAUGCCUACCCACAUCUGCUUAUGUCAUAUCAUAUGCAUCAUCACAUCAUCAUUUUAUUUUUACAAUCCCACCUAGUUUAACAUUCUUCGGUCUACUACACUCAACUAAUUAUUAUAUUGCUUCAAUCGUCCCAUAAUUUACCGAAAUCUAACAUACGUUUCUCUUAAGAAAUUAACCAGCGACUUGUUCCUAGUUAAAACAUUUACAAAUACAACAUAAUGUUCACACACACUUAAAUUUGUAUACAAAAUGAUAGGGACACUACACUCUGUAAAUCACAACUCAAUUAUCUCUUUAUGCUCGACUUUGCAGGAUUAUUGAAGGUGGCUGGUGGGAUGGGGGGUGAAGUGUUUCACAGAGCUUUGGUGAAGUGUAGGGACCUGGGUAGCGACAAGGUGGAAGUAGAGUCUGAUGCCCUUUCUAUUAUCCAAAUGUUGAAUGGAGAGUGCUCUAUUGAUGCACGUUUGGAGUGUUUGCUAUGUGAUAUUAAAGCCUUGGCGUCUCAGAUUAGGGAG